rnacentral:tRNA from 1 species
GCUGAUGUGGUGGAAUGGCAGACACAGGGGACUUAAAAUCCCCCGGCCCUAAACCAUGCGGGUUCGAGUCCCGCCAUCAGCA